UUAACUGUGAUGAAUAUUUAGUCGGCUGAAACCAGUGAUGUUUCACAAUAACGAGCUUUUUAACACUGAUAACA